UUAGUUUUUAUGAGAGAGUGAAAGCACAGUUCUGUAAUAUAUGAAGAAAUCUGUGGAUUCUGUAGAGACAGGAACAGCGUGACAUAAAUCUCAGGAAGGCAUCUUAUUUCACAAAUUUCCCAUUUGAUUCCUGCUAUUGUGUGAGGCUGGGCUCUUCAUCUCUAUCAAAAUCAGUCUGGAAGCCUUCUGAGAUUGCCUCUAGAAAAGCCAAUACUCCCGCGGAUUGGACCACAGAUGCUCCUACUUACCUGUGGUGACCCUGGAUUCUGUACAACUGAUUUGUUGAUACAGAAGAGAGUCAUGCAAACUACAGAAAUCCACCCAAAACCGAGAGAAGGAGAGUAUCUGUUUUCAGAGGAGCUGUCUGCUUUGGGAGGAAGUUCCAGAAGUGAGCCUCAGG
rnacentral:lncRNA from 1 species